GCUGAAAAUGCUGGAAUGGGGAAAAAUGGAGCAAAAUCUGGUGUCACGUAUUCCAGUUUGAUUGCUGAGGGGAACCACAGAGGAGCACCGCAGAAGACAGGCAAAUUUUACUGCUGUUUGACUGCACAUGGCAAAGGAGAAGAACAGCCCCAGCCACCUGUCCGAGAAUGAUUUUGUGCAAGGCUGAGUCCUCAUGAAGGCCAAAGGAAAGUUGG